rnacentral:lncRNA from 1 species
UGUCAUUUUAAGUGAAUUAAUGUUAUUUAAUUUAAAAUUUUUAAUAUAUGGUAUGGUAAACACAGAUGGAACACACGAGGAAGAAAGCUGUUUGGAAUUUGUCAGUGGUUUUAAAGAACAUAGAGAGGUUUUGAGAAUAUAUUGUUUCGGAACUAAGGAUCUGAAUAUAUAAAACAGAAAGGGUUUAAUGCCAGGAAUUGGAUGCCUGCCAAACCGUUUAAAAGGCUGGUGGGGAAGAGAUCAGGGAGAGCCCUCACUCAGGCUGGGACUGGCUCCACAGAGCUCAGAAGUUGCUGUAGCAGUCAGGAGCAACAGGCAUUUCCCAGUGUCAGGACUGCAAUGCUCACCAUCAGACCGAGACUCAUUUUAAAUUUCUUUACUGUGGUAAUUAUCCUUAUUUUUGGAAACAGCCAUCGGUAUUUGGGAGUGAAAUGUCACAGCUCACAUUAGCCAGAGAAGAAGGGAGGGGCACACAUAAAAAGUGAGACGAUAUGAAGAGGUGUGCACAAUUGGUACGGGUACACGGGAUUUUCGGCCUUGUUUUUAAAACCUUGUCGUUUCAGGGUUUUCGAAAUACAUGUCUGGCAGAAACAGUAUACCAGCAUCAGGACCAAUGAGUAAAAGUUUGGAAAAUAAAGUUUGAAAUACUUCCUGGGGUGAAGAAUAGAGUGGACGAUGACGUAAUGUACUAAACAGACUUGUGGUGACCUCAUCAGGGACACUUCCUCUUGGAUAGAUGGCAGUUGGCACAGAGACUCAGCCACCAGCCUGGGUGCGUGCUCAGCCCCACAGGGGAUGCCUGAAGCACACGCCCCUCCCCACCCUCCUGAGAUUCAGGGAUCAUUUCAGAGAGAAAUGCCCCAGAGGGACUGUAAGAGCUGGAGACAAGACAGGGCACUUGAACAUGUGUAGCCAUAGAUUAUGACAGCACGCACAAGGCCUGUGUAAGGCGGAGAGUCCCCAGCCCCUGCUGAGGAACUCUUGAUAAUUAAUGGCUUCUGGAAGGGGAAGAGUUGGCUUUCUUUAGGGCGUGGCCCCUGGUGAGUGGAACGAGCUCCAUUGAUGACCACACACCCUAGUACUAAUUGAGCUGGAUAGAUUUUUAAAGAGCAGAAAAAUAAUCCAGGAAAGCAGGGGGCUGAAUGGAUAUGGAUUGGGGACUGGAUCUGAAAAGAGUCGGGGAGGGGAAUUGAAUAUGAAAUUAUGAUAGAAAUGUAUUUUAUGAAAUUCGCAAUUAAUAAAUAGAAUUAUUAUCACAAGUGAAGUCAUGG